AAGGAGCAUCUAGGCCGCCAAGCAAGCUUGGUGGUCCAGGGCCAUUGCGUCGGCAUACGUUCGACGGUGGUUGCUCAUGGGUGGAACGUUGAUUAUUCGGCCGGGUUCACGGGUCGGAGGCUGUUAGUACUGCUCUCGCAAGAGGGUGUGGAAAGCAUGAUCUCCGGGCGGGACCGGGUCGGGCACGCUGUUGGGUGUCUGAGGGUAUGGCCGUGAGGUUGUGUCUUCAGUGCCGGCCCCAGUGAACUCGCCCUGUAGGGGUGGGGUGGUGGGUGGUUGGUCGUUG
rnacentral:misc_RNA from 1 species